rnacentral:rRNA from 1 species
ACUCCUACGGGAGGCAGCAGUGGGGAAUUUUGGACAAUGGGCGAAAGCCUGAUCCAGCCAUGCCGCGUGCAGGAUGAAGGCCUUCGGGUUGUAAACUGCUUUUGUACGGAACGAAACGGCCUUUUCUAAUAAAGAGGGCUAAUGACGGUACCGUAAGAAUAAGCACCGGCUAACUACGUGCCAGCAGCCGCGGUAAUACGUAGGGUGCAAGCGUUAAUCGGAAUUACUGGGCGUAAAGCGUGCGCAGGCGGUUAUGUAAGACAGUUGUGAAAUCCCCGGGCUCAACCUGGGAACUGCAUCUGUGACUGCAUAGCUAGAGUACGGUAGAGGGGGAUGGAAUUCCGCGUGUAGCAGUGAAAUGCGUAGAUAUGCGGAGGAACACCGAUGGCGAAGGCAAUCCCCUGGACCUGUACUGACGCUCAUGCACGAAAGCGUGGGGAGCAAACAGGAUUAGAAACCCCUGUAGUCCCA